UACGUAGGGGGGCUAGCGUUGUCCGGAAUCAUUGGGCGUAAAGCGCGCGUAGGCGGCCCUGUUAGUCCGCUGUAAAAGUCAAAGGCUCAACCUUUGAAUGCCGGUGGAUACUGCAGGGCUAGAGUCCGGAAGAGGCGAGUGGAAUUCCUGGUGUAGCGGUGAAAUGCGCAGAUAUCAGGAGGAACACCGAUGGCGAAGGCAGAUCUCUGGGCCGUAACUGACGCUGAGGAGCGAAAGCAUGGGGAGCGAACAGG
rnacentral:rRNA from 1 species